AUGGCAAAGUUAAUAAGGGCGCACGGUGGAUGCCUUGGCAUUAAGAGCCGAAGAAGGACGUGACUAACGACGAUAUUCUAGGGGGAGCAGUAAGUACGCAUUGAUCCCUAGGUCUCCGAAUGGGGAAACCCACUAUGUUAUGCAUAGUAUCCGUAAGUGAAUACAUAGCUUACGCGAAGGUAACGCAGAGAACUGAAACAUCUAAGUACCUGCAGGAAGAGAAAGUAAAAACGAUUUCCUAAGUAGCGGCGAGCGAACGGGAAACAGGCCAAACCAAGAAGCUUGCUUCUUGGGGUUGUAGGACUGCAACGUGGACUUAAAGUCUAUAGAAGAAUUACCUGGGAAGGUAAGCCAAAGAGAGUAAUAGCCUCGUAUUUGAAAUAGACUUUAUACCUAGCAGUAUCCUGAGUAGGGCUGGACACGCGAAAUCCAGUUUGAAUCCGGGAGGACCAUCUCCCAAGCCUAAAUACUCCUUAAUGACCGAUAGUGAACCAGUACCGUGAGGGAAAGGUGAAAAGAACCCCGGGAGGGGAGUGAAAUAGCACCUGAAACCGUGUGCCUACAAGAAGUUCGAGCCCGUCAAUGGGUGAGAGCGUGCCUUUUGUAGAAUGAACCGGCGAGUUACGUUAUGAUGCGAGGUUAAGCUGAAGAGGCGGAGCCGUAGCGAAAGCGAGUCUGAAUAGGGCGCUUUAGUAUCAUGAUGUAGACCCGAAACCUAGUGACCUAUCCAUGAGCAGGUUGAAGGUGCGGUAAGACGCACUGGAGGACCGAACCAGGACACGUUGAAAAGUGUUUGGAUGACUUGUGGAUAGCGGAGAAAUUCCAAACGAACUGGGAGAUAGCUGGUUCUCUCCGAAAUAGCUUUAGGGCUAGCGUCGCAAUUUAAGUGUAUUGGAGGUAGAGCACUGUUUGGAUGAGGGGCCCAUCUCGGGUUACCAAUUUCAGAUAAACUCCGAAUGCUAAUACACAUGUGCGGCAGUCAGACUGCGAGUGCUAAGAUCCGUAGUCGAAAGGGAAACAGCCCAGACCACCAGCUAAGGUCCCAAAAUAUAUGUUAAGUGGAAAAGGAUGUGGGGUUGCACAGACAACUAGGAUGUUAGCUCAGAAGCAGCUAUCAUUCAAAGAGUGCGUAAUAGCUCACUAGUCGAGUGACCCUGCGCCGAAAAUGUACCGGGGCUAAACAUAUUACCGAAGCUGUGGAUUUAAUAUUAAUUAAAUGGUAGGAGAGCGUUGUAAUCAGCGAUGAAGGUAUACCGUGAGGGGUGCUGGAGCGAUUACAAGUGAGAAUGCCGGUAUGAGUAGCGCAAGAUAAGUGAGAAUCUUAUCCACCGUAAGACUAAGGUUUCCAGGGGAAGGCUCGUCCGCCCUGGGUUAGUCGGGACCUAAGGCGAGGCCGAAAGGCGUAGUCGAUGGACAACAGGUUGAUAUUCCUGUACUAGUAUUGUUAGUGAUGGAGGGACGCAGUAGGCUAAAGGGAGCCAGUUAAUGGAUUCUGGUCUAAGCAGUGAGGUGUGGAAUGUGUCAAAUGCAUUUUCCUUUAACAUUGAGCUGUGAUGGGGAAGCAACUACGGUUGCGAAGCCCUUGAUGUCACACUGCCAAGAAAAUCUUCUAGCGUUUAAUUCAAUACUACCCGUACCGCAAACCGACACAGGUAGUCGAGGCGAGUAGCCUCAGGUGAUCGAGAGAACUCUCGUUAAGGAACUCGGCAAAAUGACCCCGUAACUUCGGGAGAAGGGGUGCUGUAGAAAUACAGCCGCAGUGAAAAGAUCCAAGCAACUGUUUAUCAAAAACACAGCUCUCUGCUAAACCGCAAGGUGAUGUAUAGGGGGUGACGCCUGCCCGGUGCUGGAAGGUUAAGAGGAGGGGUUAGACAUUAGUCGAAGCUCUGAAUUGAAGCCCCAGUAAACGGCGGCCGUAACUAUAACGGUCCUAAGGUAGCGAAAUUCCUUGUCGGGUAAGUUCCGACCCGCACGAAAGGCGUAAUGAUUUGGAUACUGUCUCAACGAGAGACUCGGUGAAAUUUUAGUACCUGUGAAGAUGCAGGUUACCCGCGACAGGACGGAAAGACCCCAUGGAGCUUUACUGCAGAUUGAUAUUGAGUACCUGUGAAGCAUGUACAGGAUAGGUAGGAGACUUUGACCUUGGGACGCUAGUUUCAAGUGAGUCGCUGUUGGGAUACUACCCUUGCUUCAUGGUUGCUCUAACCCACACGCAUAAUCGGCGUGGGAGACAGUGUCUGUCGGGCAGUUUGACUGGGGCGGUCGCCUCCUAAAGAGUAACGGAGGCGCCCAAAGGUUCCCUCAACAUGGUUGGAAAUCAUGUGUAGAGUGUAAAGGUAUAAGGGAGCUUGACUGCGAGAGCUACAACUCGAGCAGGUAGGAAACUAGGGCUUAGUGAUCCGGUGGUACCGCAUGGAAGGGCCAUCGCUCAACGGAUAAAAGCUACCCUGGGGAUAACAGGCUUAUCUCCCCCAAGAGUUCACAUCGACGGGGAGGUUUGGCACCUCGAUGUCGGCUCGUCGCAUCCUGGGGCUGUAGUCGGUCCCAAGGGUUGGGCUGUUCGCCCAUUAAAGCGGCACGCGAGCUGGGUUCAGAACGUCGUGAGACAGUUCGGUCCCUAUCCGUCGCGGGCGUAGGAAAUUUGAGAGGAUCUGCCCUUAGUACGAGAGGACCGGGGUGGACUUACCGCUGGUGUACCAGUUGUUCCGCCAGGAGCACCGCUGGGUAGCUAUGUAGGGAAGGGAUAAGCGCUGAAAGCAUCUAAGUGCGAAGCCCACCUCAAGAUGAGAUUUCCCAUUCUUUAUGAAUUAAGAGCCCUGAGAGAUGAUCAGGUUGAUAGGCUGGAAGUGGAAGUCCUGCGAGGGAUGGAGCGGACCAGUACUAAUAGCUCGAGGACUUUACCAAG
rnacentral:rRNA from 2 species